UACGGGGGGGGCAAGCGUUGUUCGGAAUUACUGGGCGUAAAGGGCUCGUAGGCGGCCAACUAAGUCAUACGUGAAAUCCCUCGGCUUAACCGGGGAACUGCGUCUGAUACUGGAUGGCUUGAGUUCGGGAGAGGGAUGCGGAAUUCCAGGUGUAGCGGUGAAAUGCGUAGAUAUCCGAAAGAACACCGGUGGCGAAGGCGGCCUGCUGGGCUACUGCUGACACUGAUGCGCGACAGCGUGGGGAGCAAACAGG
rnacentral:rRNA from 1 species